rnacentral:rRNA from 1 species
CCUACGGGCGGCUGCAGUGGGGAAUAUUGGACAAUGGGGGGAACCCUGAUCCAGCCAUGCCGCGUGUGUGAAGAAGGCCCUCGGGUUGUAAAGCACUUUCAGUGAGGAAGAACGCCUGGUGGUUAAUACCCAUCAGGAAAGACAUCACUCACAGAAGAAGCACCGGCUAACUCCGUGCCAGCAGCCGCGGUAAUACGGAGGGUGCGAGCGUUAAUCGGAAUUACUGGGCGUAAAGCGCGCGUAGGUGGCUUGAUAAGCCGGUUGUGAAAGCCCCGGGCUCAACCUGGGAACGGCAUCCGGAACUGUCAAGCUAGAGGGAAGGAGAGGAAGGUAGAAUUCCCGGUGUAGCGGUGAAAUGCGUAGAGAUCGGGAGGAAUACCAGUGGCGAAGGCGGCCUUCUGGACUGACACUGACACUGAGGUGCGAAAGCGUGGGUAGCAAACAGGAUUAGAUACCCGAGUAGUC